UACGUAGGGGGCAAGCGUUAUCCGGAAUUACUGGGUGUAAAGGGAGCGUAGACGGUAAUGUAAGUCUGGAGUGAAAGGCGGGGGCCCAACCCCCGGACUGCUCUGGAAACUAUGUUACUGGAGUGCAGGAGAGGUAAGCGGAAUUCCUAGUGUAGCGGUGAAAUGCGUAGAUAUAACUUAGAACCCCGAUAGCGAAGGCAGCUUACCAGACUGUUACUGACGCUGAAGCACGAGAGCGUGGGUAGCGAACAGG
rnacentral:rRNA from 1 species